rnacentral:lncRNA from 1 species
UCAUCUCCGUCCUCUCCGCUCAAUAACAUCCUUAAAGACAAUGGACCACUUGGUGGUGAAGUGGUUGUCCAUACUGCUCCAUAACUCCUAUCCAAGAGCUUGCACACAAAGUUUUGGGUCUGCAGAUAUUAGGAGUACCCAAUUUUGUAAGUAUUUUAUUCUCUCUAUUAAACGGAAAUUUAUGGUCCGAAAGAGCAUAUUACCUCACAUAGCUGCACAGCUGUGAUAUCCUUAUCCCCUUGUUGAUACCAUAGGAUAAAUGCUAAAUAGUAAGGGUAGUUGCUGUUCUCAUCUAUCUUGAUGGUAAUAUUUUUGUUGGGGUAGCUGCAUGAAACACUGAAUAAACAGAGCGGAGGAACGAGUAAGAGAUCCAUGAUUUUGUAUAUAUGAUACACUUCUAGAUUAUUGAGAGUAAGGUGGAUUAAAAGGGGAAAAAUGACAUGCUCCUCAAUAUAGAGAUGUCUUACCGCCUAUAUUCAAUGUCAACAACUCCAAGGGCUAAUAGAGAUGCAGCUGCAUCUUUUGUCUGAGCCAUCCUACCAAAGGCUCGUCUGCUCAGGAUAAAGUCAGUAUUGGGGCCUGAGCCUUGAUCGGUUAUAACCACAGUCACACCUUUGUCUGAGCAAUAGUGGCUGUUGGUGCACCUCACCUAUUAUAGCAAUAAUGGAAGAGCAGGUUAGGUACUAUUUAAGCAUGUGAAAGGAUAUCUAUGUUAUGUUUCAUGACAUAUCAAGGCACGCCUUUCUUUAAUACCUGGUAGCAAUCACCACAGCCUACACCAUUACGGUAGAGAUCAGACGCUGCUGAUACAUCUCCACCGUUUAUUGUUGCUCCAAAAGAACCAAAACCGCAUGCACCCACUGCAAUUCAGUAAAGAAAAUAAAUGAGCAUGUAUGUUUGUAUUAUGCAUGAGCACAACACAAGUACACGUUCCUUGCAUUCUCUUACCAUCUGUUCCAUGUUCAUCAGAGUUUGGGUAGUAAGCUGCUCGCGAAUGGAUGAAAGUCGUUGCCUCUGUCAUGAGAAGCAAAGUUGUUAAAAGGAUCAGAAGGGAUGGAAGAGAGAGAGCCAUAGAGGAUUCAAUGAACAAAGAUUACACUAAAAGCAAAGAAG